AACCCGGAUUCUCCUAGUAACGGCGAGUGAACGGAGAUUAGCCCAGCACCGAAGCCUAUCCGCGUUUGUGGACAGGGCAAUGUGGUGUUCAGGCAUGAACCUGGGGAUGCUCGUCUAUUCGAAGUCCAACUCCGAUUAUGGCUUUGGAUCUGUCCCAUAGAGGGUGAAAGGCCCGUCCGAAUAGACAUCUCAUAUAAUGAGUAUCCCUCAGAUGUUCGUGCUUUCGAGUCGGAUUGCUUGAGAAUGCAGUCCAAAGUGGGUGGUAAACUCCAUCCAAGGCUAAAUACUGGCACGAGUCCGAUAGUAGACAAGUACCGUGAGGGAAAGUUGAAAAGUACUCUGAAGAGAGAGUAAAUAGUACGUGAAACCGACUGUAUGGAAGCUGGUGGAGUCAAGCUUCUUGCUUUGGCGAUUGCCGUGGAGACCAUAAUGUUUAUUGAGUAUGGAGUUGUUGGCUUGGAAAUAGCUAGCUGGUUCGCCAGCUCAAGCGUUCCGGGUAGUGUGCUUGUGCUUCUCCUAUCCUCAGGUCUUUAUGUUAUUCGUCAUUGCUAACAUCACAAUCAAUGUGAAUGUGGUGUCUCAUAGUCUAACUACGUUAUAGGGAACUUCGGUUUUCUGAGCGUGGGACGGCAGGUGGUAGUCAGUGUGGCUUGUCCGUACUGGUUACUUAUACUGGUUUUACUUGCUGAUUAUGAGGCUUUCAAGACCAUCAUUUGCAUUGUUCUUAUGCCGAUCAAAGCCUUCCGGUUGUGAUUGCGAGAAUUGUGGUGCCGAGGA
rnacentral:rRNA from 1 species